AUGGCAAUGGCGCCACCACCGCACAAGCUCGCCACGAUGGUCGGCUGGUCGGCCUCGGCGUUCGUCGCCGCCGUGCUUGCCCGCCUGAUCCGCAAGGGCAUCGCGCUGCUGGCCGAGCUCGACGAGACCGCGGUGGGCCACCUGCGCCGCCUCGAGGGUCUCCUCGCGCCCGUCUGGCGGGUGCUCGACGCGGCCGACGCCGGCGCCAUCGAUUCGAGCCAGCGCCCCAUCCAGGACCUGCUCGACGCGGCCUGCUCCGCGGACGACGCCCUCGACGACCUCGAGUACGUGCUCCUUCAUACCGAGGUGGGCGAUCCCGGGUCGAACACCAGCACGCCGGCCUCGGUCGCCGGCGCCGGCGCCACCAGGAAACCGCGCAGCCCUAUGAGGUUCUUUCUGUGCUUCAGCCCACCAAGAACCGCUUCAUAUACUGGCAGUGGCAGCUCCCUUUGGAAAAGCUCAAGCAAGAAGAGGAGCAGCGCCGUCAAUGUCAAUCUGGACGGACUAAGAGAAGCGUUUGAGGCGGUGGCUCAGGCCGCCUACAGGUGCACGUCCAUGUACGAGCACGUCGUGCCGAGGAAGAACUACGCCACCAUCGUCUCCGUAAAAUCGCCGGGGGAUGCCGUACGUGACAAGUACGACAUCUUCGGCAGGGAGGCCCAGGUGGACCAGAUCGUGAAGGCGGUGAGGCUCGGCGACGACCUGCGUUACCGCCUUGGCGUCGGCGUGCUCCCCGUCGUCGGCGCCGAGGGGGUAGGCAAGACGGCGCUCACCCAGCUCAUCUUUCACCAUGAGAUCAUCAAGGCCGAGUUCCCCGUGCGCAUGUGGGCGCACGUCUCCGGCGAGCUCCUGCUGAGUAAGCAGCUCAUGCUCCAGAUGAUCCAUCCGGUGGUCACCGGAGAUGCCGGCCAUGACGUCCAAGACGCCAGGGAGCUUCUGCUGGCCCAGCUGGCCGGCAAGAGGUUCCUGCUCGUGCUCGACCACGUCACAGAUGUCAGUGAUGCCCAGUGGAGAGAUCUGAUGGAGGUGCUGCAACCAGCUGCUCGGAGGAGCUUGAUCAUGGUGACAACUCAAUCCCAAGAUGCCGCCGUAGCUGUAGGGACCAUGCCCCCGCUGAUCCUCGGCCCUAUGGCAUUCGAUGACUACUGGAGGAUGUUCAAGCAUUUCGCAUUUGGGGCUGCAGAUGAAGCCGAAGAAGACUGCACUCCGCUGGUGGAUGAAUGGGACGACCUCGAAGAGGAAGAGGAGGAGCUAUCACCCAUGGAGCAAAUCGCACACGAGAUGGCCAAGAACAUGGGCUGCGCACCGUUACCGGCACGGGCAAUCGGGCGUUCACUGUACUUCCGGCGGGACGAAGAAGGCCACUGGAAAGAUGUGUUGGCUGACAGCUUGUGGCAGCAGGGGGACAUCGGCGGGGUCUCGCCGGCGCUCUGGCUGAGCUACCAGCACCUUGAUCCCCGCCUCAAGCAGUGUUUCGCAUACUGUGCGGUGUUUCCGGGUGACUAUGUCUUCCGAAAGGAAGAACUCGAGCAGAUGUGGGUAGGACAUGGGUUCAUAUAUUCCGAUGAUCCUGCGGCGACAUUGGAGGACGUCGCCGGCGAGUUCUUCGACGAGCUUGUCGAACGAUGCUUCUUCCAGCCCCUGGGAAGGAACAGAUACAUUAUGCACAACACGAUGCAGAAGCUAGCACGAGCAGUCUCAGGGAGCCAGUUUCACAUGGUCACUGAUAGCUCAGGAGAAGUGCCACAGGAAGUUCGUCACCUGACAAUCACAACUAACAACCUGCUGAAGCUGAAGAUGGAUCUGGCAUUGCAGCUCUCACAUCCCUCCGAUCACCAUUUCCUCCAGCAGGUUCGCACGAUCCUGUUCUUCGAAGAUUUCGGCGAUUCAGAUGAUUUCUUGGAAGUUUUAGUCGAGAUUUUCUCGAUCACAAAGAGUGUGAGGGUCCUCGGCUUAUCGUCUGCAAACAUUUCACUUCUGCCUGCUGAGAUCGGCCUGCUCCGACACCUGCGGUAUCUCAACGUGUCCAGGAACAGACUCACUGAACUUCCAGAUACAAUGUGCCAGCUCCACCUGCUGCAGGUCCUGGACGUCAAGUGCAACUCUCCUUAUCUCCGUCCUCCCAAUGGCAUGACAAACUUGAUUCAUCUGAGGCAUCUCCGUGCAUGUGAGGCUCUCCUUUCGGCCAUACCUGACAUACAACUACUCUCAAAUUUGCAAGAACUGGAGGCAAUCUGCAUCAAGAGUGGCGCGCACGCCAAUGCCCUACGCCAAAUGGUACAGCUCAAAGGCGCGCUUCGCGUUGCGAAUCUCCACCGGAGCGAUGCUAGUGGGUCCAAGAAGGGUAUCCUGAAGGGAACAAAGCACCUGAACAAAUUACAGCACCUGAAUAAACUACACCUGUCAUGGGCUAGCAGCAGCUCUAUGCCCGGAAGCAACGAGGUUUCAGUUGAUGAAGAGGUGCUUGAGUGCCUGCAACCACAUGAGAACAUAGAGAUUCUGAUGGUUUCGGGCUAUGCAGGAAUAAGGUCCCCACCAUGGAUGCUGAAGACCUCUUGCUCGCUGCCGAAUGUGACAUCCAUGUGCCUGACAGACUGCCUGAACUGGGAGAGCCUGCCUUGCCUGCAUGACAUGCCUUGCCUCGAGGUUCUUGAGAUCAAGAGGAUGCACUCUGUUAACACGGUGGGCAUUUCUCAACUAUCAGACCAAGAACUGUUCCCGAAGCUCAAAAGGCUCAUCAUCGAAGACGCUUCGCAUUUCACCGGAUGGUCGACCGGCAACUCGACAAGACACAUGUCAUUCCCCUGCCUCUGCAAGCUGGAGAUAAGAAACUGUCCCAGCCUGACGACCUUCCCAGACGUUCCCCUUUCACUCACCACCAUGAUCAUUGAAAACGUUGGUCUCGAGCUGCUGCCGAUGAUUCACGACAAGCAGUCAUCAUCAGAAGACGCGAUGUCGUCAACAUCAGAGGACGGCGGUAGAUGGACGUCACGGCUCACCACGUUACACAUACACCGGUGCCACAAGCUGAGGUCCCUGGGAUCCGGCCUUCUUCAGCAGCAGCACCUCCUGCGGUCUCUCGAGGCUCUGUCGAUCAAGAGCUGCGAUGACGUCGCCUGCGAUCUUCCCGACGGUUUCAAGGAUCUCACCGCGCUGAGGGACCUCUCGCUGUACGACUGCCCGAAGCUGCUCGUCGACAAGUUCCACGCGUCGCUGCGGACGCUGGAGAUCAGCGAGUGCUUCGUCGCGCGGGGCGGGUGGGUGGACGAGUACCCUUUCCUCUUCUCGGUGUGGGUGCUGAAGAUCAGCGGCUGCCCGCACGUGAGCUCCGGUCAUGGCGGCAAGGUUGCUGAGCCUCUGGACUGGCUGAGCUCCAUGUUCAACGUGUACAGCCUUCAGUUGGAGAACACGUCGUUUGUGAGCCUGAACAUGUUUGACAAGCUCCAUUCUCUUGAGACACUCGAGAUCGACGGGAGCCGCGGCGCGUUCUUCGACGGUUCCUGGGAGUUUGAGUGGCUGGAGAAGCUGCACACCCUGAGCAUCAGAAGCUGCGGUGAACUGAGUGAGCUGCCGGAGAACCUGUACACUCUGCCUGCGCUGGAAGAGCUGUGCGUGGACAACUGUCCGGCUAUUCAGGCACUGCCGGCGAACGGCUUGCCGGCGUCGCUGAAGAGGCUCUCCAUAUCCAAGUGCAGUCCGGAGCUGAUCCAGAGGUGUCUUGAGGACGAACUUGAUAGGCCCAAGAUUGCCAAGGUUGGUGUUGUUUACAUUGAUGGACAAAAUAUUGCUGCUCGGCAGGAAUAG
rnacentral:rRNA from 1 species